UCCCCGCCCCUCCAACUGGCCCCGCCCUCCAGCGGGCCCCGCCCCCUCCAGCCGCCCGGGCGCGGUGGGGGAUGGGGGUGAAAAAUGCGCUGGUUAGAGACUGGAUCUCACCUGGACAGCAGGUGCAGCUUUGGUCCCUGCGGGCUCAGAGGUCUGCCUUUCGGAAACUUGCUCUGUUCGAGGUCCUGGGAAAGGAAUGAAGGUGUGUCAGCGUGGCCAUGGGGCCCCAACUCCAUAGACCGCCCCAGCCCAGAUCUUCUUUGUUCUCCUCGUCCUCCUCGGAGGAUCUUUCUGGCGUCUCUCCUGCCCCUGAUCUGGCUAUGGGAUUCUCAGAUUCUCUCUUGCAGUCCACCAUGGAAGUAGUGGCAGGGUUUCUCCACGUUGCCCAGGCUGCUCUUGAACUCCCGACCCCUGAAGCCUUUGUCUCCAAGAAUCUAGCAAAGUGACAGUAAUGAAUACAAUGUCACUAAAGGGCCAGCACCACGGAAGAAAUCUCAGUGGAACACCUGACUUCAAGUGUGACCUCGAUUCUCACUGAAAUGAAAUCUCGCUCAGGUGAAACUGUCAGUUCCCCAGAAAUGCGAGGAACCGAGAAGCAGUAGCGACAUCACAGGGAAGCAGCCAGCCUCGCACAAACCGGAGAAACACACGGCGCAAAGGCCCCAGGGCUCCUGCAAGUCAGAUGCAGGGCAGAAGCCACCAACUGCCCUCAUACGAACAGGCAAACUAGAGAAGAAAACCCACCUUUUUUUAUUUGAGACGGAGUUUCGCUGUCAUUACCCAGGCUGGAGUGCAAUGGCGCGAUCUCGGCUCACCGCAACCUCCGCCUUCUGGGUUCAAGCAAUUCUCCUGCCUCAGCCUCCCAAGUAGCUGGGACUACAGGCGCGCACCACCAUGCCCAGCUAAUUUUUGUAUUUUUAGUAGAGACGGGGUUUCACCUUGAAACCCCAGGAUGGUCUCAUUGACCAGGAUGGUCUUGAUCUCUUGACCUCGUGAUCCACCCGCCUCAGCCUCCCAAAGUGCUGGGAUUAUAGGCGUGAGCCACCACGCCCGGCCGAAAACCUGUUUACAACAGUGGAAAAUCAGUUGCUGGGCACACUGGCUCACACCUGUAAUCCCAGCACUUCGGGAGGCUGAGGUGAGAGGAUUGCAUAAGUCCAGGUGUUUGAGUACAGCCUGGACAACAUAGCAAGACCCCAUCUCUCAGAAAAAAAACAAAAAAACAAAAAAACCCAAAUAAUUAACAAAGAAAAAAAAAUUAGCUGGGUAUGUCAGUGCACACCUAUAAUCCUAGCUACUCAGGAGGUUGAGGUGGGAGGAUCACCUGAACCCAGGAGGUCAAGGCUGCAGUGAGCCGUGAUUGAGCCACUGCACUCCAACCUUGGGCAAGAAAGCAAGACCCUGUCUCUAAAAACAGAAAGAAAAAGAAACUUAGGACACAGAUCAUCCACAGUCAUUGUGGGCCCUUAUGGGAUCCUGAUUCUAACCAAGUUAUCCCCAAAAAGAUACACUGGACAAGAUCAGGACAUCUGAGUCUAGACUGCCACGAAAUGACGUUAACGAUGUUACAGGAUGACCAUGAACUUGGCUGCGAUAGGAGUUUUGUAAAAGGGUCUUUAUCAGAAAGCGCUGCACGGGGGCACUUGUGGGAGUGAUGGGAAAACUGCUGGGAUUUGCUAGGUUUUUUUUUUUUUUGAGACAGAGUCUUGCUCUAUCCCUCAGGCUGGAGUGCAGUGGCACAAUCUCGACUCACUGCAACCUCUGCCUCCCGGGUUCAAGCGAUUCUCCUGCCUCAGCCUCCUGAGUAGCUGGGAUUACAGGCAUGCACCACCACGCCCGGCUAAUUUUUGUAUUUUCAGUAGACACGGGGUUUCAUCAUGUUGGCCGGGAUGGUCUUGAACUCCUGACCUCAGGUGAUCUGCCCGCCUGUGCCUCCCAAAGUGCUGGGAUUACAGGAGUGAGCCAUUAUGCUCAGCCUGGGAUUUGCUUUAAGCUGGAGCUUCUCUAAGUUGAAGAUGCAUGUGAAUAUCCAAAUUCUUUAGUUUUUGCCACGAGGUCUCACUCUUUCACAAAGGGUUGGAGUACAGUGGCACGAUUACAAUUCACUGCAGCUCAACCUCCUGGGCUCCAAUGAUCCUUCUGCCUCAGGCUUCCUGAGUAGCUGGGACUACAGGUACGUGCCACCAACCCAGCGAAUUUCUUGUAGUUUUUGUAGAGACAGUGUUUUGCCAUCUAGCCUAGGCUGGUCUCAAACUCCUGGCCUCAAGCAGUCCUCCCGCUUCAGCCUCCCAAAGUGCUGUGAUUACAGGCAUGAGCCACUGCACCCGACCCAUUUUUAUUUUAGUAUAGAAAGUUUCAAGCAUUGCUGGGUGUCCCAGCUACUUGGGAGGCUUAGGCGGGAGGAUUGAGUGAGGCCAGGAGUUUGAGACCAGCCUGGGCAACAUAAUAAGACUCUCUCUAUAUAAAAGAUUUAAACAUUGGCAGCGUGUGGUGGCACAUGCCUGUAAUCCAUCGCUUUGGGAGGUUGAGGCAGGGAAACCGUUUGAGCUCAGAAGUUCCAGACCAGCCUGGGAAAUAUGGCAAAACCGCAUCUCUACAAAAAAAUAUAAAAAAUUAGCUAGGCGUGGUGAUGUGUGCCUGUAGUCCCAGCUACUCAGGAGGCCAGGGUAGGAGAAUCACCUGAGUCCUGGAGACCAAGGUUGCAGUGAGUCAUGAUCACACCACUGCACUCUAGCCUGGGUGACAGAGUGGAGGCCCCAUCUCAUAAAAUAUCACAAAGAAAAAAGUAUAUACUAAUUUAAAAAUUGGCCGGGCAUGGUGGCACAUGCCUGUAGUCCCAGCUACUUGGGAGGCUGAGGCAGGAGGAAUGCUUUAGCCUGGAGUUCAAGGCCGCAGUGAGCUACCAUUGCCCCACCAGGUUGUACGCCAACCUGGGCAAAAGAGUGAGACUGUAAAUAAAAAAGAGAAAGGAAAACUGAAAGUAUGUGCAGUGCAUGGAAGGCUUGCUGUAGCAGGGUUAGGCUUAGGGUUAGGGUUAGGGUUGCUGCCUGUGCCUGCAUCAGGGUCUCAUGGAGGCAAAGGCAGAUAACAGGGCCUCUGAGAAUCCAGUUCUUUUUUUUUGUUGUUGUUGAUACAAAGUCUCACUCUGUCACCCAGGCUGGAGUGCAGUGUGUGAUCCCGGGUCACCACGACCUCUGCCUUCCGAGGUCAAGCGAUUUUCCUGCCUCAGCCUCCCGAGUAGCAGGGAUGACAGGCACCUGCCACCAUGCCUAGCUGAUUUUGUAUUUUUAGUAGAGACAGGGUUUCGCCAUGUUGGCCAGGCUGCUCUCAAACUCCUGACCUCGUGAUCCACCUGCCCCAGCCUUACCAAAGUGCUCAGCUUACAGGUGUGAGCCACAGUGCCCAGCCAAUUCUCCUUCUUUCUAAGUCCCCUGCUGGAAGAGUCUAGGAAGCAGAUCCGACGAUGCCUCCCUGGCCUGAGCCCCCUCUCCUACCCCCAGGCCCCUCUCCUGCCCUGAGUCCCCACAGUCUCACCA